GUCAGGGGGUCUUCGGACCACCGGCGAAUCGCUUAGUAACACGUUGAUAAUCUGCCCUUAGGUUGGGGAUAGCUUCGGGAAACUGAAGGUAAACCCCAAUAAGAGUCCAGUUCUGGAAAGAUGGAACUUCUAAAAGUAAUGCCUAAGGAUAGUCAGCGGCGGAUUAGAUUGUUGGUGGGGUAACGGCCCACCAAGUCGAAGAUCCGUAGGGGCCUUGAGAGAGGUAGCCCCAAGAAGGGAACUGAGAUACUGUCCCUAGCCCUACGGGGUGCAGCAGGCGCGAAACCUUUACAAUGCACGAAAGUGUGAUAAGGGAACUCUGAGUGCUCGUGUUUAACAUGGGCUUUUGCCAAAAGUAAAUAUUUUGGCGAAUAAGUGAUGGGUAAGACUGGUGCCAGCCGCCGCGGUAACACCAGCGUCACGAGUGGGGACCACUUUUAUUGGGCCUAAAGCGUCCGUAGCCGGUUUAGUCAAUCUCUAGUGAAAUUGUACAGCUCAACUGUACACCGUGCUGGAGAGACUGCUAAACUUGAGACCGGGAGGAGUCAGAGGUAUUCUUUGGGAGCGGUAAAAUGUUAUAAUCCAAAGAAGACCACCUAUGGCGAAGGCAUCUGACCAGAACGGUUCUGACGGUGAGGGACGAAAGCCAGGGGAGCGAUCCGGAUUAGAUACCCGAGUAGUCCUGGCUGUAAACGCUGCGAGCUAGGUGUUGCACAUUCUUUGAGGAUGUGCAGUAUCGAAGCGAAGGUGUUAAGCUCGCCGCCUGGGAAGUAUGGUCGCAAGGCUGAAACUUAAAGGAAUUGGCGGGGGAGCACCACAAGGGGUGCGGCGUGCGGUUUAAUCUAAUUCAACACAGAGAAUCUCACCAGAAGCGACGGCAGGAUGAAAGUCAGAUUAAAGGUUUUACUUGACGAGCCGAGAGGUGGUGCAUGGCCGCCGUCAGCUCGUGCCGUAAGGUGUCCAUUUAAGUAUGGUAACGAGCGAGACCUAUGUCUACACUUGCUAGCGAGUCCUUUUGGACGAUCGAGCACAGUGUAGAGACUGCCUUGGAAACGAGGAGGAAGGUGUAGGCUACGGUAGGUCUGUAUGCCCCGAAUCUUCUGGGCUACACGCGCGCAACAAUGGUUGGGACAAUGGGAUACGACUCCGAAAGGAGAAGUUAAGCCUCUAAACCCAAUCCAAGUUCAGAUUGAGGUCUGUGACUCGGCCUCAUGACGAUGGAAUCCCUAGUAAUCGGGUAUCAUCAGUGCCCGGUGAAUACGUCCCUGCUCCUUGCACACACCGCCCGUCAAGCCACUCGAGCAGGGUUUGGAUGAGGUCUAGUUUUUUGAUUAGUUCGAAUCCAAGCUCAGUGAGAAGGGCUAAGUCGUCACAAGGUA
rnacentral:rRNA from 1 species